CCUACGGGAGGCUGCAGUGAGGAAUAUUGGACAAUGGACGCAAGUCUGACGCAGCGACGCCGCGUGAGGGAUGAAGGUCUUCGGAUCGUAAACCUCUGUCAGCAGGGAAGAACGGUCACUGUGCUAAUCAGCAGUGCAUUGACGGUACCUGCAAAGGAAGCACCGGCUAACUCCGUGCCAGCAGCCGCGGUAAUACGGAGGGUGCGAGCGUUAAUCGGAAUUACUGGGCGUAAAGCGAGCGUAGGCGGUAUGUCAAGUCUAGGGUGAAAUCCACGCGCUUAACGUGGGAACUGCCUGUGAAACUGGCAGACUGGAGUGUGUGAGAGGAUAGUGGAAUUCCAGGUGUAGGAGUGAAAUGCGUAGAUAUCUGGAGGAACAUCAGUGGCGAAGGCGACUGUCUGGCACACAACUGACGCUGAGGAGCGAAAGCGUGGGUAGCGAACAGGAUUAGAUACCCCGGUAGUC
rnacentral:rRNA from 1 species